AUUGAACGCUGGCGGCAUGCCUUACACAUGCAAGUCGAACGGCAGCACGGGAGCAAUCCUGGUGGCGAGUGGCGAACGGGUGAGUAAUAUAUCGGAACGUGCCCAGUCGUGGGGAUAACGUAGCGAAAGCUACGCUAAUACCGCAUACGAUCUAUGGAUGAAAGCGGGGGAUCGCAAGACCUCGCGCGAUUGGAGCGGCCGAUAUCAGAUUAGGUAGUUGGUGAGGUAAAGGCUCACCAAGCCAACGAUCUGUAGCUGGUCUGAGAGGACGACCAGCCACACUGGAACUGAGACACGGUCCAGACUCCUACGGGAGGCAGCAGUGGGGAAUUUUGGACAAUGGACGCAAGUCUGAUCCAGCCAUUCCGCGUGCAGGAUGAAGGCCCUCGGGUUGUAAACUGCUUUUGUACGGAACGAAAAGGUUUCUCUUAAUACGAGGAGCUCAUGACGGUACCGUAAGAAUAAAGCACCGGNUAACUACGUGCCAG
rnacentral:rRNA from 1 species